GGACGCCAGUCUGCGUGGAGCCGACCUUGAAAUACCACCCUUUAAUGUUUGAUGUUCUAACGUGGACCCGUGAUCCGGGUUGCGGACAGUGUCUGGUGGGUAGUUUGACUGGGGCGGUCUCCUCCUAAAGAGUAACGGAGGAGCACGAAGGUUGGCUAAUCCUGGUCGGACAUCAGGAGGUUAGUGCAAUGGCAUAAGCCAGCUUGACUGCGAGCGUGACGGCGCGAGCAGGUGCGAAAGCAGGUCAUAGUGAUCCGGUGGUUCUGAAUGGAAGGGCCAUCGCUCAACGGAUAAAAGGUACUCCGGGGAUAACAGGCUGAUACCGCCCAAGAGUUCAUAUCGACGGCGGUGUUUGGCACCUCGAUGUCGGCUCAUCACAUCCUGGGGCUGAAGUAGGUCCCAAGGGUAUGGCUGUUCGCCAUUUAAAGUGGUACGCGAGCUGGGUUUAGAACGUCGUGAGACAGUUCGGUCCCUAUCUGCCGUGGGCGCUGGAGAACUGAGGGGGGCUGCUCCUAGUACGAGAGGACCGGAGUGGACGCAUCACUGGUGUUCGGGUUGUCAUGCCAAUGGCACUGCCCGGUAGCUAAAUGCGGAAGAGAUAAGUGCUGAAAGCAUCUAAGCACGAAACUUGCCCCGA
rnacentral:rRNA from 2 species